GCUGGUGAGUGUUGUUAUCAUCCUCAUUUUACAGAUGAGGAAAUGAGGUGCAGGGAGGUGAAGUCCCACAGCUGGAGGGGGCAGAACAGGAUUGAAACCAGAGCCCAUCACUACUCUCCUGGCUGCCUUUCUGCCUUGAUCAAAUACUUUCCACCCCUCCACUGCGCCUUCAGCCUCCACAAGAUGAGAAAACAGAGAAGUAAAAUGACUUGCUCAGGAACACCUACUGCAAGGCAGACCAGGAACCUGAACUCAAGGCAACCCAAGCAUCGCAUUGUAGAGCCUCUCUUUCCCCACCUGUGAAAUGGGCCAGUGACAACUCCCCUCACCAGGAGAGCAGAGGGAACGGCACAACGGGAGGCUUCACAAGAGGAGGAAAACCAGCUAACCCGAGGGUCCAGCACUGAGGGGACGGGGCAUGAAUGGUGCCCGGUUCUCCACCCGCGCCAGCCCCCACUUACACCCCAGCGCCGCACCCCUGAGAUUAAACGGGCAGUAAAGAGUAAAGUUAAUGAAAUCCACAUCGUGUGCCUCUCCCCGCUUGAACCAUUCCAGUCUCCAGGGCAAUAGAAAUAGUGUACGCAAUUGCGAGCAAUAAAAGGCAUAAUGAAUUUAAAAGCAGGCCACGGGGGUGGGGGAGUGAGGACGGAGUGCUUGGGCCUUAAAGGCAAGAGGA